ACGGGGGGGGCAAGCGUUGUUCGGAAUUACUGGGCGUAAAGGGCUCGUAGGCGGCCAACUAAGUCAGACGUGAAAUCCCUCGGCUUAACCUGGGAACUGCGUCUGAUACUGGACGGCUCGAGUUUGGGAGAGGGAUGUGGAAUUCCAGGUGUAGCGGUGAAAUGCGUAGAUAUCUGGAGGAACACCGGUGGCGAAGGCGGCAUCCUGGACCAACACUGACGCUGAGGCGCGAAAGCUAGGGGAGCAAACGGGA
rnacentral:rRNA from 1 species